rnacentral:rRNA from 1 species
CUGGUCUUGACAUCCUGGGAACCCUGAAGAGAUUUGGGGGUGCCGCAAGGAGCCCAGAGACAGGUGCUGCAUGGCUGUCGUCAGCUCGUGUCGUGAGAUGUUGGGUUAAGUCCCGCAACGAGCGCAACCCUUGUCCUUAGUUGCCAGCAUUAAGUUGGGCACUCUAAGGAGACCGCCGGUGACAAACCGGAGGAAGGUGGGGAUGACGUCAAGUCAUCAUGGCCUUUAUGGCCAGGGCUACACACGUGCUACAAUGGUAGAUACAGAGGGAAGCCAACUCGCGAGAGGGAGCCAAUCCCAGAAAAUCUAUCGUAGUCCGGAUCGGAGUCUGCAACUCGACUCCGUGAAGUCGGAAUCGCUAGUAAUCGCAGAUCAGCAUUGCUGCGGUGAAUA